rnacentral:rRNA from 1 species
UUCUGCAGACAUAUUGCCUCAGCUGUGAUCCUGUCGGAUCAACCAAGCUAAGCAGGGUCAAGUCAGUACUUGGAUGGGAGGCCUUCAAUGAAUAUUCAGGGUGCAGGUG